AUGGAAUCAAUCACCGUCCGGCACGUGGCAGUGAUUCCUUUCCCAUGCCAAGGCCACAUCAACGCCAUGAUGGGUGUCUGCAAGUCACUAUCUUCAAAACAAGACCAUGGAAUUCUCAUCACCAGUGUUGUCUCUGAAGAGUGGCUCAGCUGCAUCUGUGGCUAAAGCCAAAUGAUAACAGUAACAACACCAUUCGCUUCGCUACCAUCCCUAACGUGGUCGAGCGUGAAAAAAUGGGUGACUUUGGACCCUUCAACGAAGUGGUGAAGGCGAAAAUGGAAGCUCCCGUUGAAGAACUCCUGGAUCGACUCGACCCUCUGGUGGAUAGAAUCAUAGCCGACUUUGAGCUGCAGUGGCCACUCGACUUAGCGAUUCGAAAGGAAAUUCCAAUUGCCUCGCUUUGGAGCAUAUCGACUUUUUUUUUUCUCCAUGCUUCAUCGUCAUUAUGUUUUCACACAGCAUCAUCAUCUGCCACUUCACUUUAUAGAUGACGAAGACAAUCAUGUGGAAAACAUACCCGGGAUUUCUUCAACUGAUUUAGAUGACUUACAAAUCGUAUUUCAUGAAAACAACCCAAAGGGAAUGGAACAAAUCUUGAAUUGCUUUUCAAUUGUGUCCAAAGCACAAUAUGUUCUUGUCAAUUCCUUCUAUGAGCUUGAAGCUCAAGCCUUUGACUCUUUGAAAGCAACAUUCCCUUUCCCUGUGUACCCUAUUGGUCCUACCAACCGUUACUUGGAACCAAAACUUGAUCAACAUAGUUCCUUUACAACUACAUCAACUAUUGAUUAUCUAAAAUGGUUGGACUCUCAGCCUGCAGGCUCUGUCUUGUAUGUUUCAUUUGGAAGUUUUUUUGAGCUUUCAAGCACUCAAAUGGAUGAAUUCACAGUCGCGCUUUGUAGUAGUGGUGUUCGGUUCUUGUGGGUGGCGCGAGGGGAAGCUUCUAGGCUGAAAGAAACUUGUGGUGGUGAUAAAGGGUUGGUAGUGCCUUGGUGUGACCAACUAAGAGUGUUGUGCCAUCCUUCUGUAGGUGGAUUUUGGUCCCAUUCUGGAUGGAAUUCAGUCCAAGAAACUAUAUUUAUGCAGGCAUUCCUAUGCUUGCUUUCCCCUUAUUUUUGGACCAAGUUCCUAACAGUAGGAAAAUUGAGGAAGAUUGGAAGAUUGGGUAGAGGGUUAAGAGAGCAGAGAUAGGAAGUGAAAUUUUGGUGGCAACAGAGGAUAUAUUACAACACAUACAAAGGCUUAUGGAUCUUGAAAGCUGUGAGGGAAAAGAAACUAGGAAAAGAGCAAGAGAACUUAAAAAUAUGUAUGAUCAAGCGACUGCUAAAGGUGGAUCAUUUGAUUCUCACUUGGAUGCAUUUGUUAGUGACUUUUUAGAAGGCAAUUUGAACCAUUAAGAAGUUUGGUUAUUAUAUGAGA